rnacentral:rRNA from 1 species
GACAGAGGGUGCAAACGUUUGCUCGGAAUUACUGGGCGUAAAGCGCGUGUAGGCGGUCUCGCGAGUCGGGUGUGAAAGCCCGGGGCUCAACCCCGGACGUGCAUUCGAUACUACGAGGCUGGAGUACUGUAGAGGAGAGCGGAAUUCCCGGUGUAGAGGUGAAAUUCGUAGAUAUCGGGAGGAACACCAGUGGCGAAGGCGGCUCUCUGGACAGUGACUGACGCUGAGACGCGAAAGCGUGGGUAGCAAACAGG